CAGUAGCCGCGGUAAUACAGAGGGUGCGAGCGUUAAUCGGAUUUACUGGGCGUAAAGCGUGCGUAGGCGGCUUCUUAAGUCGGAUGUGAAAUCCCUGAGCUUAACUUAGGAAUUGCAUUCGAUACUGGGAAGCUAGAGUAUGGGAGAGGAUGGUAAAAUUCCAGGUGUAGCGGUGAAAUGCGUAGAGAUCUGGAGGAAUACCGAUGGCGAAGGCAGCCAUCUGGCCUAAUACUGACGCUGAGGUACGAAAGCAUGGGGAGCAAACAGGAUUAGAUACCCGCGUAGUCCCUGUCUCUUAUAC
rnacentral:rRNA from 1 species